AGUCUGCCGUCGAGCGCCAUUUUGCACGAGGUGUCCUCUUACCAGCAGCAACUGCCAUCCCCUGAUUCAGGUGUGGAAUGCAGUGUAAGAUUUGCUAAUUUAUCAACAGUGGCUGAGAAGUUCUCCUGAAAUACUACAGACUACAUCGCUAUCGAGGACCAUCCAGGCAGCAGCCUUGUUUGUUCACUGACUGCAUCUGCAUUUUCAAGACUGCAGCUGAUGUCCAAAAACAGUGGCCUGCAUGUUUCUGGGAGAUCAG